GAUGAACGCUGGCGGCGUGCCUAAUACAUGCAAGUCGAGCGAACAGAUGAGGAGCUUGCUCCUCUGACGUUAGCGGCGGACGGGUGAGUAACACGUGGAUAACCUACCUAUAAGACUGGGAUAACUUCGGGAAACCGGAGCUAAUACCGGAUAAUAUAUUGAACCGCAUGGUUCAAUAGUGAAAGACGGUUUUGCUGUCACUUAUAGAUGGAUCCGCGCCGCAUUAGCUAGUUGGUAAGGUAACGGCUUACCAAGGCAACGAUGCGUAGCCGACCUGAGAGGGUGAUCGGCCACACUGGAACUGAGACACGGUCCAGACUCCUACGGGAGGCAGCAGUACGGAAUCUUCCGCAAUGGGCGAAAGCCUGACGGAGCAACGCCGCGUGAGUGAUGAAGGUCUUCGGAUCGUAAAACUCUGUUAUUAGGGAAGAACAAAUGUGUAAGUAACUAUGCACGUCUUGACGGUACCUAAUCAGAAAGCCACGGCUAACUACGUG
rnacentral:rRNA from 1 species